UAGCGAAAGCGAGUUUUAACUGAGCGUUCAGUUACUGGACGUAGACCCGAAACCGGGCGACCUACCCAUGAGCAGGAUGAAGCGAAAGUAAAAUUUCGUGGAGGUCCGAACCCACGAGCGUUGAAAAGCGCGGGGAUGACUUGUGGGUAGCGGUGAAAUUCCAAUCGAGCCCGGAGAUAGCUGGUUCUCCCCGAAAUAGCUUUAGGGCUAGCCUCAAGGUGAGAGAUACGGAGGUAGAGCACUGAAUGUCCUAGGGG
rnacentral:rRNA from 1 species